AACGAACGCUGGCGGCAGGCCUAACACAUGCAAGUCGAGCGAUUCUCUUCGGAGAAGAGCGGCGGACGGGUGAGUAACGCGUGGGUAACCUGCCCUGUACACACGGAUAACAUACCGAAAGGUAUGCUAAUACGAGAUAAUAUGCUUUUAUCGCAUGGUAGAAGUAUCAAAGCUUUUGCGGUACAGGAUGGACCCGCGUCUGAUUAGCUAGUUGGUAAGGUAACGGCUUACCAAGGCGACGAUCAGUAGCCGACCUGAGAGGGUGAUCGGCCACAUUGGAACUGAGACACGGUCCAAACUCCUACGGGAGGCAGCAGUGGGGAAUAUUGCACAAUGGGCGAAAGCCUGAUGCAGCAACGCCGCGUGAGCGAUGAAGGCCUUCGGGUCGUAAAGCUCUGUCCUCAAGGAAGAUAAUGACGGUACUUGAGGAGGAAGCCCCGGCUAACUACGUGCCAGCAGCCGCAGUAA
rnacentral:rRNA from 1 species